AUACGGAGGAUGCAAGCGUUAUCCGGAUUUAUUGGGUUUAAAGGGUGCGCAGGCGGCCAUUUAAGUCAGCGGUUAAAUCGGGGGGCUCAACCCCAUUCUGCCGUUGAUACUGGGUGGCUUGAUUGGGGUCGAGGUUGGCGGAAUUCGUUGUGUAGCGGUGGAAUGCAUAGAUAUGACGAAGAACACCGAUUGCGUAGGCAGCUGACCAGACCGCAAAUGACGCUCAUGCACGAAAGUGCGGGGAUCGAACAGGAUUAGAUACCCUGGUAGUCCGCACAGUAAACGAUGAAUACUUGUUUUCGGCGAUAUAAUGUCGGAGGCAAAGCGAAAGCGAUAAGUAUUCCACCUGGGGAGUACGCCGGCAACGGUGAAACUCAAAGGAAUUGGCGGGG
rnacentral:rRNA from 1 species